rnacentral:rRNA from 1 species
CAACUUUUAACAACGGAUAUCUUGGCUCUCGCAACGAUGAAGAACGCAGCGAAAUGCGAUACGUAAUGUGAAUUGCAGAAUUCAGUGAAUCAUCAAAUCUUUGAACGCAUAUUGCGCUUCUGGGCUCGCUCAGAAGCAUGCCUGUUUCAGUGUCA